UCCACUGACAGACCUCUCUCUCUCUCUCUCUACUCCCAAUCUCUCCGUUCUCUACUUCCUCAAUCUCUCCCUUUCUUCUCAUCUCAGCGGGUCUCUCACUUUCUCAAACUCUCCGCCCUCUCUCUCUCUCUCUUCGUCGUUAAUUGCAUCACCGCCGCCGCCGCCGCCGCCGCCGCCGAUGCUCCGGAUCCCAGCCCCGACUCCUCAGCCUUCGUCCGAAGUCGUGAUCGUCUUCCAGGAAACGUUGACGGAAAUCUCUUUGCCAGGUUAAAUAUUUGGAGAAUCAAAAAUCCCCAAAUCGGAAAUUCAAGAUAAGUUCCCUUUUUUAUUAUUUUUAUUCUCUUUGUUUGCAUUUGAUUUGAACAGAUCACUUUGAUAUAGUUUGGUGAGUUUGUGUGGAAUAUGGUGAUUCGGCGAUUGAACCUAGGGAUUCUGAGUUUGCUCAGAAUGAGUCAACUCAUUGAGUACUAUUUUUGAUAGCGAGUUGACUCGCCUAACUCAGUGAGUUUUGAUUUAAUUGAUUUUAAAAUAAUUGGCUCCUCUAUUAUAUUUUUUUUUAUAUGGGCCAAGACCGGUUAUGUUUUUUUUUAUGUGGGCUUGAAAAAAUUCGGGCCAGGGCUUUUCUCUUGAAAAUAUUAAGGUGUUGAAAAUGGGCCCUAUUUUUUAUUUUUCAUUUGGGCCAGCUUUCAAUCCCGGGUCUUUAGCUUUCAGAAUUAAACCUGGGCCUGGGGUUCUUUUAAUAGUGAUCUAGGUCCAGGGGCUAAGGUCCAGCUGUACCUGGGCCUUGGGAUGGGUCAACGGGUCAAGCUAUGCGUCGGGUUAGUGGGUCAGAUUCGGUCUCGUGGGUCGGAUCCGAUUGAUUUCAAUACAUUUCUACUCCUGUUUCGAAUUGAUAUUAAAUAAAUAAUAUAUGCAAGUAUAAAGACCUACCUCUGUCUUCCACUCCUCCGUCUUUAAAGAGAAAACCGAUAACCCCCCUGUGGUAUAAUGAUACUGCUGCAGGUAAAUGGCUUUAAUUUGAUUUGCUUUGCUCUGGCUAUUAUGGGGUGCUGCUUCUUCGCUCCCAAUUACUCGGUCUGAUUGCUUCUGAUAAAUCUCCAAUUGCCUUCCGACUGCUUCCGAAUUGCAGCUUCAGAUUGCCUAGGUGAUCUCUAUGACUAUAUUGCUGCUUCAGGUGGCCGAGGUGAUCUCUCUGACUAUAUGGCUACUAUGAUAUUUCUCGGUAUUCUCUCUGGGUACUCUCUGAUAACCUUCUCCUCGCUCAGUUUUUUUUUGCUACUUCCUGCGCUCCAUCCAGCACUCUCCUCUCUUUUGUCCUCUCUUGGUGUGCAUAUUAGUAGAGUCCUAGACUUUAUUUAUUUAUGUUGUAUUUCAAAUUAUUAUUAUUAUUAUUAUUAUUAUUAUUAUUAUUAUAUAUUUUGUACUCUUCUGAUGUAUUCUGUUUUUGUAUUUUUCUAAUGUAUUAUUAUACUUUUUUUUCUGCUCUAAUUAUUGUAAUAAUAUAUAUAUAUAUAUAUAUAUAUAUAUAAAAAGUAUUCUGUAAAAUUGGCCCACAACAAAUGGGGUGUCUGAAAUAUAUAAAUAUGAGACCACUUUCUUUGAAGCUGAAAAAUUUUUUAUUAAAUUUUAAAACUGCAAACAUAUGCAUACGAGUGUUCACACAUAUAAAUAUCUACCAAGUGGUUCAUGAAAUUAGCAAGAGAAAUAUCAAAAUUAAUAUAUUAUUGUUCACCAUAUUGAGUUACUUCAAUAAGUAUUUAUUGAACCACUUGGUAGAUAUUUAUUGAAGUAACUCAAUAUGGUGGACAAUAAUAUAUUAAUUUUUAUAUUUCUCUUGCUAAUUUCAUGAACCACUUGGUAGAUAUUUAUAUGUGUGCACACUCGUAUGCAUAUAUUUGCAGUUUUAAAAAUAUGAAAUACCGGCAUACGAGUCGAUAAUUUUCAUAUCAUCCCCCCAAGUUCUGAUAACGGAUGUAGAAUACAUCCAGUCACAGUAACAAAUAAAAAAUUCAACACUUAUAUUUGAUUUGCUAGCAAAAUUAUGCAAAAACAGAGUAUGAAUUAUUGUCAUUUUCAAAAAUUUUAUUUCAAUUUCCAAUUGUAAGUCAUUGCUUUCUAAUUACAUUAAAUUUGCACAUUACUUAAUGAUAUUAAAAUAAUUAUUAAUUUUAAAAUUAUUAUGUUUAAUUUUUUUUUUGACAUUUCAUAGUCACGUUUCGAACAUGAUCAAAAUGUCAAAAAAAAAUAAAAAAAUCAUCGGUUAAAUCAUGUCAUUUUUAUUUGUUAUUGUCACUCCUUAAUUAACUAAACAAUAUAAAUGGAUGUUUAAAUUUAAUUAUUGAAAAAUAAAAAUAAAAAUAAUUCACGUGACUACUUCGCAUUGCGUGCGUGCGUGUGAUUGCUUACUAUAUGUGUGGGUGUGUUUAUAUAUAUACAUGAGUGCUUAUUAAUUAAUGAGAGUCGCUUUCUUCAGAAAUGUAGUCACUUUCUCCAGAAAUGAUGUCGUAGGAGCCGCUUUCGAAAGAAAUGUGGGAGCUGCUUUCAGAAGAAAUGUCAUUGGAGCCUUGAGAAGAAAUGUUGUCGCUGGAGUCGCUUUCAAAAAGAAUGUAGUCAGGUGAGAAGAAUGCUCGCACGAGCACUCUUGCCUGAAGAAUGUCGUCUCUCACAAGUAUUUCAUCUCUUUCGGGAUCCUCAGGUUUGCAAACACCGGUGUCGUAGCUUGACUCGAAAACAAUGCGAUAAGGUUCCCCCGGAGUUAUGUCAAAAUAAGUUAUCCACUUAAAGUUGCAUUUCACCUCAGGCUGAAGUCAUAAACUUCCUCCGACCACUACAGUCAUCACCGUUUGUUCAGGAGGAACCGCUCCUCCAUUACCAUCAUUCAUGAAGACUUCUGCCCCUUUCCCCCCUUCCAAUAUCAUCAGCAAACCUAAUUUGUUACAGCAGCAUGAAAGUCAACAUCAUACCCGUACUCGGCACCACGAAAUAUUGCUACGUUCCUUGCAAUGCGA